AUGUGUAAGGAAAUUUUUAAAAUAAUAUAUUUUGUUUAUUGAUUUUUAGUGAAUGGAUAGGUGUCAAUGGGUAUGGAUACCCGAAAUUUUAUCCGAACCCGAACCCGAAUGAAACGGAUAUAUCCGAUGGAUAUGGAUAUGGAUUCGGAUAUGGAUAUCAAAAAUAGAAACCGACGAUAUGGAUUCGGAUAUGGAUUUUGAUUGUACCCGACCCGAACCGCCGAACCCGAUCGAACCCGAAUUUAUUUUGUAUUAUAUAUAAUAUAUAUAUAUAAAAAUUUGAUGUUAUAUUUGAAUUUGUAUUUUAAAAAUUUAGGUUUAAUAUAAUAUAUUUUGAAAUAUUGAAAAAAGAAAUAAUUGUUUCGGGUUUAAAUUUUCGGGUUCGGGUUCGGGUUUGGGUUCGGGUUUCGGAUUUUUGGUCGGGUUCGGGUUUGGAUAUGGAUUUUUAAAAUCCGUCGGGUUCGGGUUCGGGUUCGGGUCUCGAGUUUGGAGUCGGGUUCGGGUUCGGGUUUUUAAAAAUCCGCCCCGAAUCCGACCCGUUGACAUCUCUAUGAAUGGAUGUGAUCCUUAUUGAAUGAAUGCAACACUUAGUGAAUGAUGCAACCCUUAGUGAGUGGAUGCAACUCUAAUCAAAGAGUGUGACUCUUAGAGUGAAAGGAUGUGACUUUUAGUGAAAGGAUAUGACAUGAAAAGAUAUAUCUUUAUAGUGUGUAUCUUCGAGUAUAUGUCCGUUGGAAUGAAUUCUUACAUUCAUUGAACUUGACUCAUAAAACUAAUUGGUAGUUAUGAUCAAAUAUAAAGUCACAAUUGAAGGGUCACUUCAUGAAACACCCGUUGAUAUUCUAGUCAUUUCAUGAAGCACCUGUUCGUAGUCUAUAUAAAUCCAUAACGUUGGUUGCAGAAGUAUGAAAAAACAGUGGAAGAGUUUAAGUCUCCAUUCAUAAUAAUUACAUUCUUAUUUUCUUAUUCUGUUUGACAACUUAAUCGAGUA
rnacentral:lncRNA from 1 species